ACGAACGCUGGCGGCGUGCUUAACCCAUGCCGGUCGAACGGAAAGGCCCCUUUGGGGGUACUCGAGUGGCGAACGGGUGAGUAACACGUGAGUAACCUGCCCUUGACUUCGGGAUAACUUCAGGAAACUGGGGCUAAUACCGGAUAGGAAUCCUUGCUGCAUGGUGGGGGUUGGAAAGCUUCGGCGGUUUUGGAUGGACUCGCGGCUUAUCAGCUUGUUGGUGGGGUAGUGGCUUACCAAGGCUUUGACGGGUAGCCGGCCUGAGAGGGCGACCGGCCACAUUGGGACUGAGAUACGGCCCAGACUCCUACGGGAGGCAGCAGUGGGGAAUAUUGCACAAUGGGCGGAAGCCUGAUGCAGCAACGCCGCGUGCGGGAUGACGGCCUUCGGGUUGUAAACCGCUUUCAGCAGGGGCGAAGCUUGUGGUGACGGUACCUGCAGAAGAAGCACCGGCUAACUACGUG
rnacentral:rRNA from 1 species